rnacentral:rRNA from 1 species
UACGAAGGGGGCUAGCGUUGCUCGGAAUCACUGGGCGUAAAGGGUGCGUAGGCGGGUCUUUUAAGUCAGGGGUGAAAUCCUGGAGCUCAACUCCAGAACUGCCUUUGAUACUGAAGAUCUUGAGUUCGGGAGAGGUGAGUGGAACUGUGAGUGUAGAGGUGAAAUUCGUAGAUAUUCGCAAGAACACCAGUGGCGAAGGCGGCUCACUGGCCCGAUACUGACGCUGAUGCACGAAAGCGUGGGGAGCAAACAGG